UACGUAGGGUGCAAGCGUUGUCCGGAAUUAUUGGGCGUAAAGAGCUCGUAGGCGGUCUGUCGCGUCGGCUGUGAAAACUCGGGGCUCAACCCCGAGCCUGCAGUCGAUACGGGCAGACUAGAGUGCUGUAGGGGAGACUGGAAUUCCUGGUGUAGCGGUGAAAUGCGCAGAUAUCAGGAGGAACACCGAUGGCGAAGGCAGGUCUCUGGGCAUUAACUGACGCUGAGGAGCGAAAGCAUGGGGAGCGAACAGG
rnacentral:rRNA from 1 species